rnacentral:rRNA from 1 species
GAUGAACGCUGGCGGCGUGCCUAAUACAUGCAAGUCGAGCGAAUGGAUUAAGAGCUUGCUCUUAUGAAGUUAGCGGCGGACGGGUGAGUAACACGUGGGUAACCUGCCCAUAAGACAGGGAUAACUCCGGGAAACCGGGGCUAAUACCGGAUAACAUUUUGAACCGCAUGGUUCGAAAUUGAAAGGCGGCUUCGGCUGUCACUUAUGGAUGGACCCGCGUCGCAUUAGCUAGUUGGUGAGGUAACGGCUCACCAAGGCAACGAUGCGUAGCCGACCUGAGAGGGUGAUCGGCCACACUGGGACUGAGACACGGCCCAGACUCCUACGGGAGGCAGCAGUAGGGAAUCUUCCGCAAUGGUCGAAAGUCUGACGGAGCAACGCCGCGUGAGUGAUGAAGGCUUUCGGGUCGUAAAACUCUGUUGUUAGGGAAGAACAAGUGCUAGUUGAAUAAGCUGGCACCUUGACGGUACCUAACCAGAAAGCCACGGCUAACUACGUGCCAGCCGCCGCCGUAA